UACGGGGGGAGCAAGCGUUGUUCGGAUUUACUGGGCGUAAAGGGCGCGUAGGCGGCGUGACAAGUCACUUGUGAAAUCUCCGGGCUUAACCCGGAGCGGUCAAGUGAUACUGUCGUGCUAGAGUGCGGAAGGGGCUACUGGAAUUCUCGGUGUAGCGGUGAAAUGCGUAGAUAUCGAGAGGAACACCUGCGGCGAAGGCGGGUAGCUGGGCCGACACUGACGCUGAUGCGCGAAAGCGUGGGGAGCGAACCGG
rnacentral:rRNA from 1 species